AGGACGAACGCUGGCGGCGUGCUUAACACAUGCAAGUCGAGCGACGCACCACUUCGGUGGUGACGGAGCGGCGAACGGGUGAGUAACACGUGGGCAACCUGCCCCUAGCUCUGGGACAACACCGGGAAACCGGUGCUAAUACCGGAUACGACACCGAGCGGCAUCGCUUCGGUGUGGAAAGUUUUUCGGCUAGGGAUGGGCCCGCGGCCUAUCAGCUUGUUGGUGGGGUAAUGGCCCACCAAGGCGACGACGGGUAGCCGGCCUGAGAGGGCGACCGGCCACGACUGGGACUGAGACACGGCCCAGACUCCUACGGAGGCAGCAGUGGGGAAUAUGCGCAAUGGGCGAAAGCCUGACGCAGCGACGCCGCGUGAGGGAUGAAGGCCUUCGGUUGUAAACCUCUUUCAGCAGGGACGAAAUCAGACGGUACCUGCAGAAGAAGCGACCGCCAACUACGUGCCAGCAGCCCGAC
rnacentral:rRNA from 1 species